AACGAACGCUGGCGGCAUGCCUAACACAUGCAAGUCGAACGAGACCUUCGGGUCUAGUGGCGCACGGGUGCGUAACGCGUGGGAACCUGCCCUUAGGUUCGGAAUAACUCCCCGAAAGGGGUGCUAAUACCGGAUAAUGUCUUCGGACCAAAGAUUUAUCGCCUUUGGAUGGGCCCGCGUUGGAUUAGCUAGUUGGUAGGGUAAAAGCCUACCAAGGCGACGAUCCAUAGCUGGUCUGAGAGGAUGAUCAGCCACACUGGGACUGAGACACGGCCCAGACUCCUACGGGAGGCAGCAGUGGGGAAUAUUGGACAAUGGGCGAAAGCCUGAUGCAGCAAGGCCGCGUGAGUGAUGAAGGCCUUAGGGUUGUAAAGCUCUUUUACCCGGGAUGAUAAUGACAGUACCGGGAGAAUAAGCUCCGGCUAACUCCGUG
rnacentral:rRNA from 1 species